CCUACGGGAGGCAGCAGUGAGGAAUAUUGGUCAAUGGGCGCGAGCCUGAACCAGCCAAGUCGCGUUAGGGAAGACGGUCCUAUGGAUUGUAAACCUCUUUUGUCGGGGAGCAAAAGACGCCACGCGUGGCGUUCCGCGAGUACCCGAAGAAAAAGCAUCGGCUAACUCCGUGCCAGCAGCCGCGGUAAUACGGAGGAUGCGAGCGUUAUCCGGAUUUAUUGGGUUUAAAGGGUGCGCAGGCGGAAGAUUAAGUCAGCGGUAAAAUUGAGAGGCUCAACCUCUUCGAGCCGUUGAAAAUGGUUUUCUUGAGUGAGUGAGAAGUAUGCGGAAUGCGUGGUGUAGCGGUGAAAGGCAUAGAUAUCACGCAGAACUCCGAUUGCGAAGGCAGCAGACCGGCGCUCAAAUGACGCUCAUGCACGAAAGUGUGGGUAUCGAACAGGAUUAGAUACCCUUGUAGUC
rnacentral:rRNA from 1 species